GGGUGGUAAUGCCGGAUGCUCCGGUUGGAUGCAUGUCCUUCCGGGAAAGGUUCCAUCGGUAUGGGAUGGGGUCGCGUCCUAUCAGCUUGAUGGCGGGGUAACGGCCCACCAUGGCUUCGACGGGUAGCCGGCCUGAGAGGGCGACCGGCCACAUUGGGACUGAGAUACGGCCCAGACUCCUACGGGAGGCAGCAGUGGGGAAUAUUGCACAAUGGGCGCAAGCCUGAUGCAGCGACGCCGCGUGCGGGAUGGAGGCCUUCGGGUUGUAAACCGCUUUUGAUCGGGAGCAAGCCCUUCGGGGUGAGUGUACCUUUCGAAUAAGCACCGGCUAACUACGUGCCAGCAGCCGCGGUAAUACGUAGGGUGCAAGCGUUAUCCGGAAUUAUUGGGCGUAAAGGGCUCGUAGGCGGUUCGUCGCGUCCGGUGUGAAAGCCCAUCGCUUAACGGUGGGUCUGCGCCGGGUACGGGCGGGCUGGAGUGCGGUAGGGGAGACUGGAAUUCCCGGUGUAACGGUGGAAUGUGUAGAUAUCGGGA
rnacentral:rRNA from 1 species